rnacentral:lncRNA from 1 species
AAGUGGCAGCCACCUUGGGGCUGUCCUUCAGGGCUGUGCAGGCUGACACUUUCAAUGUGUAAGACACCACUGGAGCUUUGCAGGGCACAGCUUGCACAAGUAUGAGCCAGCCCUGAGGGCGCAGAUUGUCUCAGAUACCCUGAGAGACGAGUUCCCCGAGGACAGUUCAAGGUCUCACCAACACCUAAAAAAUCUCCUGAUGAGCAGAAUAAUUUACAGGACAUGACCUUCCAUUCUCAUUCCUGGAGAUCACUGCUAUGGAUGGAGAAGGAGGAAAGGAUAAAUCCAGCUGUCAAGAGCUGGGCUGACGUUGAGGAGCUUCUGUGUCAUCUGUGACUCCU